AGGAAGAAGGUUCAAAGAGAUGAACUGAUACAACUUAGGUCAACACUGCAAGUCCAUAAAGAAAAACCUGGGAUUUUGUUGGCAAGUGGAGGAAAUAAAACUUUUUACUGAUUCCUUCUAUCUGAAAGACAAUUGUGAAGAAACUAGUCCUCGCUGCGGGCUUGUGGACAGGAGAAACAAACACAGAGCAGGCCAUGGUAAAUUUACAACCUGAAUUCAUCCUCAUCAAAGUUUUAUUACACUAUAGAAGAAACAGCUAUGCCAGUCUAAGACAUGACUGACUCCUGGUUGCCUCUACUGUAAUUUAUUGAUCUUCCAGCACUACCGAAGAAACAAAUUCAUACCCGAUAUGCUACCAGUUUCUUAAGAGAAAACCUGACAGUAACAACAUAUGUCAAAACUGGCUUGGUUGACUUGGAGAUGAAACAGCUGGAAUGGAUGGGUUUCGUGACAAAGCUCAGAAGAAGAAAGAUACCAGGCUGGUCCUAAGCUGGCAUUUCUGCCCUGAGCAUUCAACAGCAACUUGAGCACAGGGAGCUUUGGUUGAUGACUUGAUCCCUGGAGCAAGGCCAGCUCAGCAACCCUUUUCUGUUCUCCAGAAGGAAAAUAAGGAAAUAUUUUGCUCUUGCAGUGAAUCUGGUAGCAAGUGUCUGAGCAACUCUGCAAAUGGAUGAUGACCAUUCAAAUAUUGGUUGGUAUGAAAAAAUUAAGUCACACUGCCUAUGUGCAAAUUAAAAUGAACGUUUACGUUGAGAGGCUAAAAAGCAAAUCGUCAUACAGGACAAAGAAUACUUUCCACAAGUGUAUGGGAGAAAUGAAGCUGAUUGAAAGAAAAAGCAAACAAGGAGAUAGAGGGCAAGGUGAGAGAGACACUCGGGACAUAAAGUCAAGAGAAUAAAAUUAGAACAAGAGAAAGGAAAAUCAAGAACAGCUAUUGGGAGGAAAAAAAGAUAUUUUCAUAGCUCUGUCUAUACCAAGAUGAAAAUAAAAAACUGCAUAUUAAGUGUCCAGUGGGGUUUGGGAGGCAAAAACAAGCAUCCAUUUCAAGACAUUUCUUCUGGAUUCAGACACUACUGACUGUACGAAGUAAGGGAUGAAGAUACCUCCCUGAAUUUCCUUUAUAUUGCAACCCUGUUGCAGCUGACCUGGUUUUCUUCAGUGCAAAAUGUUUUGGUGUUUGUGAUUUGUUUUGAGAAGGAAAUGUUAUUGAUUAUUUUUGAGGAACAUAAUGUGGGGUUUUAGAUUUGUGCUGCAUUUUUAGUAAAAUAUUUGCUUUGAAAGCAGCAGCAGUAUAUUUCUGACUUUCCCAUUUAAAAGUUUUUCUAGAGUUAGCUAUAGCAGGACUCCAGAAUUGUUGAACCUCUGUAUCUGACACCUACACAAACUGUUCAUCAGUGGAGGAAUGAAACAGGCAGCUAUAUCCAUUCUUAUCAUAUUAGCAGUUAUGUUCUUUCUCUUUCUGUGCCUUCUCUCCCAAUUACCUGAGCUCAUGACAAACUCCACACCAUGGAUGGGGCCCUUAGCCUAAGACUGAUCUUAUUUGUGUCAGAAUUAUUCAACUCUCAGUGAAGAUACCCCCCCACACACACACACUGAAAUAUUGAAGGUACAUAAUUUUUCUAUACAGGGCUUGUAUUUUUAUAGAUGAGUAUCUACAUCUGUAUGUAGAAGGGGAAGAAAGGAAGAAAAACAAAGAAUGAUAUAAAAGAAACCAGAAUUUCACUACUUAGGACAGCAUU